rnacentral:rRNA from 2 species
CACGCCAAACUAAGGCGAAACCGCGAAUGGCUCAUUAAAUCAGUUGUGGUUCCUUAGAUCAUACCACAUCCUACUUGGAUAACUGUGGUAAUUCUAGAGCUAAUACAUGCCGAGAGUACCUCGAGCCCGCGAGGGCGAGGGGAGCAUUUAUUAGACCAAAACCAAUGGGUUGUGGCUUGUCCACUUCCCUUUCCCUUGGUGACUCUGAAUAACUUUGUGCUGAUCGCAUGGCCUUGUGCCGGCGACAUAUCUUUCAAGUGUCUGCCUUAUCAACUUUCGACGGUAGAUUACAAGCCUACCGUGGUUAUAACAGGUGACGGGGAAUCAGGGUUCGAUUCCGGAGAGGGAGCCUGAGAAACGGCUGCCACA